ACGGAGUUCUUGAGGAAUGCGGCUUCGGCCAAAUGACUUUUGAACUUAGUGGCGGACGGGUGAGUAACGCGUGAGCAACCUGCCUUUCAGAGGGGGAUAACAUUUGGAAACAGAUGCUAAUACCGCAUAAGAUUACAGUACCGCAUGAUACAGUGAUCAAAGGAGCAAUCCGCUGAAAGAUGGGCUCGCGUCCGAUUAGAUAGUUGGUGAGGUAACGGCUCACCAAGUCGACGAUCGGUAGCCGGACUGAGAGGUUGGACGGCCACAUUGGGACUGAGACACGGCCCAGACUCCUACGGGAGGCAGCAGUGGGGAAUAUUGCACAAUGGGCGAAAGCCUGAUGCAGCAACGCCGCGUGAGGGAAGACGGUUUUCGGAUUGUAAACCUCUGUUUUCGGUGACGAAUAAAUGACGGUAACCGAGUAGGAAGCCACGGCUAACUACGUGCCAGCAGCCGCGGUAAUACGUAGGUGGCAAGCGUUAUCCGGAAUUACUGGGUGUAAAGGGAGCGCAGGCGGGAUAGCAAGUCAGCUGUGAAAACUAUGGGCUCAACCCAUAAACUGCAGUUGAAACUGUUAUUCUUGAGUGGAGUAGAGGCAAGCGGAAUUCCGAGUGUAGCGGUGAAAUGCGUAGAUAUUCGGAGGAACACCAGUGGCGAAGGCGGCUUGCUGGGCUCUAACUGACGCUGAAGGCUCGAA
rnacentral:rRNA from 1 species